rnacentral:rRNA from 1 species
AAGUAUCACCAUCGGGGGUAGAGCACUGUUAUGGCUAGGGGGUCAUCGCGACUUACCAACCCAUUGCAAACUCCGAAUACCGAUGAGUGCGAGCUUGGGAGACAGACGCCGGGUGCUAACGUCCGGUGUCAAGAGGGAAACAACCCAGACCGCCAGCUAAGGUCCCCAAGAUUGGCUAAGUGGAAAACGAAGUGGGAAGGCUAAAACAGUCAGGAGGUUGGCUUAGAAGCAGCCAUCCUUUAAAGAAAGCGUAAUAGCUCACUGAUCGAGUCGUCCUGCGCGGAAGAUGUAACGGGGCUAAGCCAGUCACCGAAGCUGCGGACGCGCGUAAGCGCGUGGUAGGAGAGCGUUCUGUAAGCCUGUGAAGGUGUCUUGAGAAGGAUGCUGGAGGUAUCAGAAGUGCGAAUGCUGACAUGAGUAGCGAUAAAGGGGGUGAAAAGCCCCCUCGCCGUAAGCCCAAGGUUUCCUACGCAACGUUCAUCGGCGUAGGGUGAGUCGGCCCCUAAGGCGAGGCAGAGAUGCGUAGCUGAUGGGAAGCAGGUUAAUAUUCCUGCACCGUCGUUUGAUGCGAUGGGGGGACGGAUCGCGGAAGGUUGUCCGACUGUUGGAAUAGUCGGUUUUUGCAUCGAAGAAGGCUGUUAGGCAAAUCCGGCAGCGUAAUUCAAGGGUGUGAGACGAGCGAACUUGUUCGCGAAGCAAUCGGAAGUGGUUCCAAGAAAAGCCUCUAAGCUUCAGUCUAACGAGACCGUACCGCAAACCGACACAGGUGGGCGAGAUGAGUAUUCUAAGGCGCUUGAGAGAACUCGGGAGAAGGAACUCGGCAAAUUGGUACCGUAACUUCGGGAUAAGGUACGCCCAAGUAGUUUGACUGGCCUGCGCCAGAAGGACAAAAGGGUUGCAAUAAAAUGGUGGCUGCGACUGUUUAAUAAAAACACAGCACUCUGCAAACACGAAAGUGGACGUAUAGGGUGUGACGCCUGCCCGGUGCUGGAAGAUUAAAUGAUGGGGUGCAAGCUCUUGAUUGAAGUCCCAGUAAACGGCGGCCGUAACUAUAACGGUCCUAAGGUAGCGAAAUUCCUUGUCGGGUAAGUUCCGACCUGCACGAAUGGCGUAACGAUGGCCACACUGUCUCCUCCCGAGACUCAGCGAAGUUGAAAUGUUUGUGAUGAUGCAAUCUACCCGCGGCUAGACGGAAAGACCCCAUGAACCUUUACUGUAGCUUUGCAUUGGACUUUGAACCGAUCUGUGUAGGAUAGGUGGGAGGCUUUGAAGCGUGGACGCUAGUCUGCGUGGAGCCAACCUUGAAAUACCACCCUGGUUUGUUUGAGGUUCUAACCUUGGUCCGUUAUCCGGAUCGGGGACAGUGCAUGGUAGGCAGUUUGACUGGGGCGGUCUCCUCCCAAAGUGUAACGGAGGAGUUCGAAGGUACGCUAGGUACGGUCGGACAUCGUGCUAAUAGUGCAAUGGCAUAAGCG